rnacentral:rRNA from 1 species
UGGGGAAUCUUGGACAAUGGGCGAAAGCCUGAUCCAGCCAUGCCGCGUGAGUGAUGAAGGCCCUAGGGUCGUAAAGCUCUUUCGCCAGGGAUGAUAAUGACAGUACCUGGUAAAGAAACCCCGGCUAACUCCGCGCCAGCAGCCGCGGUAAUACGGAGGAUGCAAGCGUUAUCCGGAAUGAUUGGGCGUAAAGCGUCUGCAGGUGGCUAUGCAAGUCUGCUGUUAAAGAGUGGAGCUCAACUCCAUAAGGGCAGUGGAAACUGCAUAACUAGAGUACGUUCGGGGUAGAGGGAAUUCCUGGUGUAGCGGUGAAAUGCGUAGAUAUCAGGAAGAACACCGGUGGCGAAAGCGCUCUACUAGGCCGUAACUGACACUGAGAGACGAAAGCUAAGGGAGCGAAUGGGAUUAGAUACCCCCGUAGU